rnacentral:rRNA from 1 species
UACGGAGGGUGCAAGCGUUAUCCGGAUUCACUGGGUUUAAAGGGUGUGUAGGCGGGCAAUUAAGUCAGUGGUGAAAUCUCCAGGCUCAACCUGGAAACUGCCAAUGAUACUAUUUGUCUUGAAUACCGUUGAGGUGGGCGGAAUAUGUCAUGUAGCGGUGAAAUGCAUAGAUAUGACAUAGAACACCAAGUGCGAAGGCAGCUCACUAAGCAGGUAUUGACGCUGAGGCACGAAAGCGUGGGGAUCAAACAGG